AUAUCAGUAAGCGGAGGAAAAGAAAAUAACAAUGAUUACCUCAGUAGCGGCGAGUGAAGAGGUAUUAGCCCAAGAUGUUAAUCUGUAAUAAAGUUACGGAAUUGUAAUCUAUAGAAUUUCUCGGAAAGCAGCGGCUUGUCAUAAGUUCCUUGGAACAGGACACCAAAGAGGGUGAAAGUCCCGUAUUUGGAUGAGCCAAAGCAAUACGAGGUGUUUCUAAGAGUCGUGUUGCUUGGAACUGCAGCACUAAGAGGGAGAUAUGAUUCUUCCAAAGCUAAAUAUGGAUGGGAGACCGAUAGCGCACAAGUA
rnacentral:rRNA from 1 species